rnacentral:lncRNA from 1 species
AAAUUUAUAUCACAUCCAUAUAUGAAUCAAUUUUAUUUGUCAAAUCCAAAACAAACCACGUGAUAGAAAAAGUACCUUCUUAUUAUGGUUAUCCACUUAUCUAUAGUUUUUGUACAUCGAUAGCAGAAAUUUCAUUAAACCUUGCAUUAUUGCCAGGGGUGGAGCUACAUAAAGGCUACUGCAGGCACCGGCCUGCACUUGAAUUUCCUCUUUGCCCCAGAAACUCCAGUGUGGGUGCACUAGACCAAGAAGAGAAUAAGAACAGGCAAGAAGCAAACUCCAGUGUGCGUGUUCAGUCCACUAGAAACUUUGGAUUUUUGAAACUGUGGCAGAGAUUCAGGGAAGUGGGAACCGUCGUCCGUUGGCAAUUGUGGCAGAGGGGAUUCCAGUCAUCUAAUAUCAUAAUGAAGGAGAUGAAUGAUUUGGAUUGGGCCCUUUCUCUUUUUUCUUUUGUUGUGGGCUUUUGUUUUGAUAGUUUUUAGCAGCCCCUUGAUCUUUUCUGGUAUUUCAUUUUUUUUUUUUUUCUAAAGUAUAGUGACACAGGUAUAGAAUACAAGAAACAUGAAAUAUUUCUCUUCAAUACUCCACAUUGAUCACAUGAAUUUUGGCCCAAAAAAAUCACUGUAGCCUAUACUUAAAAUUGUGUCCGCACUUGCAAAAUCUGUGGCUCCGUCCCUGAUUAUUGUUGCCUUAUCUUGUUUUGUUAAUUAUUCUUUAUUCAAAUCUUGCAUGUUUAUUGUUUCAAUUUGAGUGUCAAUGUUUAUAAGAAGGAAAAUGCUAUUUUUAC